AGUGAACGCUGGCGGUAGGCCUAACACAUGCAAGUCGAACGGCAGCACAGUAAGAGCUUGCUCUUACGGGUGGCGAGUGGCGGACGGGUGAGGAAUACAUCGGAAUCUACUUUUUCGUGGGGGAUAACGUAGGGAAACUUACGCUAAUACCGCAUACGACCUACGGGUGAAAGCAGGGGAUCUUCGGACCUUGCGCGAUCGAAUGAGCCGAUGUCGGAUUAGCUAGUUGGCGGGGUAAAGGCCCACCAAGGCGACGAUCCGUAGCUGGUCUGAGAGGAUGAUCAGCCACACUGGAACUGUGACACGGUCCAGACUCCUACGGGAGGCAGCAGUGGGGAAUAUUGGACAAUGGGCGCAAGCCUGAUCCAGCCAUACCGCGUGGGUGAAGAAGGCCUUCGGGUUGUAAAGCCCUUUUGUUGGGAAAGAAAAGCAGCAGGUUAAUACCCCGCUGUUCUGACGGUACCCAAAGAAUAAGCACCGGCUAACUUCGUG
rnacentral:rRNA from 1 species